UACAGAGGGUGCGAACGUUGCUCGGAAUGAUUGGGCGUAAAGCGCGUGUAGGCGGCUGAUUAUGCCGGUUGUGAAAGCCCGUGGCUCAACCACGGAAGUGCAGUCGGAACUGAUCAGCUAGAGUACCGAAGAGGGUGGCGGAAUGCCCGGUGUAGAGGUGAAAUUCGUAGAUAUUGGGUAGAACAGCGGUGGCGAAGGCGGCCGCCUGGGAGGCUACUGACGCUGAGACGCGAAAGCGUGGGGAGCAAACAGG
rnacentral:rRNA from 1 species